rnacentral:misc_RNA from 1 species
GUAGGUGAACCUGCGGAAGGAUCAUUACUGAGUUCAUGCCCUAACGGGUAGAUCUCCCACCCUUGAAUAUAUAAACCUUUGUUGCUUUGGCGGGCCGCUUCGGCUACCGGCUUCGGCUGGUGAGUGCCCACCAGAGGACCACAACUCUGUAAUAAAUGUCGUCUGAGUACUAUAAAAUAGUUAAAACUUUCAACAACGGAUCUCUUGGUUCUG